rnacentral:rRNA from 1 species
CUACGGGAUGCACCAGUGGGGAAUAUUGCACAGUGGAGGAAACUCUGAUGCAGCAACGCCGCGUGGAGGAUGACACUUUUCGGAGCGUAAACUCCUUUUAUAUAGGAAGAAGAUGACGGUACUAUAUGAAUAAGCGCCGGCUAACUCCGUGCCAGCAGCCGCGGUAAUACGGAGGGCGCAAGCGUUACUCGGAAUCACUGGGCGUAAAGAGCGUGUAGGCGGAUUAAAAAGUCAGAAGUGAAAUCCUAUAGCUUAACUAUAGAACUGCUUCUGAAACUCUUAAUCUAGAAUAUGGGAGAGGUAGAUGGAAUUUCUGGUGUAGGGGUAAAAUCCGUAGAGAUCAGAAGGAAUACCGAUUGCGAAGGCGAUCUACUAGAACAUUAUUGACGCUGAGACGCGAAAGCGUGGGAAGCAAACAGGAUUAGAUACCCCCGUAGUC